rnacentral:rRNA from 1 species
GAAAGGAGGCCUCUUAACAAUGCUCCUGCUUUUAGAUGAGUCUGCGUCUGAUUAGCUAGAUGGUGGGGUAACGGCUUACCAUGGCGACGAUCAGUAGUCGGCCUGAGAGGGUGACCGGCCACAUUGGGACUGAGACACGGCCCAAACUCCUACGGGAGGCAGCAGUGGGGAAUCUUCCGCAAUGGGCGAAAGCCUGACGGAGCAACGCCGCGUGAUCGAAGAAGGCCUUCGGGUUGUAAAGAUCUGUUGACAGGGACGAAUAAGCAAUGCGAAUAGUUUUGUGUAUGACGGUACCUGUUUAGAAAGCUCCGGCUAACUACGUGCCAGCAGCCGCGGUAAUACGUAGGGAGCAAGCGUUGUCCGGAAUUACUGGGCGUAAAGGGCGCGUAGGUGGGCGCUUAAGUCAGGUGUGAAAACUCCGGGCUCAACCUGGAGACUGCACUUGAAACUGGGUGUCUUGAGGGCAGGAGAGGAAAGUGGAAUUCCUAGUGUAGCGGUGGAAUGCGUAGAUAUUAGGAGGAACACCAGUGGCGAAGGCGACUUUCUGGACUGUACCUGACGCUGAGGCGCGAAAGCGUGGGUAGCGAACGGGAUUAGAUACCCCGGUAGUCCACGCCGUAAACGAUGAAUACUAGGUGUAGGAGGUAUCGACUCCUUCU